rnacentral:lncRNA from 1 species
AGAGAUUAAGGCGAGGUUGUGGGCUUGGUGUUCGUAUUCGAACCAAACAACGCAGGAACAAGAGUUUCGAGGUUGGUUCUCGGCUGUUAGAGGUUUGUGAUUUUUAAGAUUGGGUUGCAGAUGACGUUCCUACUCAAGUUCUUCUUCUGUUUUUCUGUUAUUGUUUUUACAGUGUCUUGGAGAUUGGGUAGUCUGUUAUCCGGGGUUGCUCUGGUGUUGUUUAUAUGAGGAUGAUGGCUUUCUUUUUCGCCUAAUCCGAUGUAUGUUAGUUUUUCGAUUUUGUAAACUUGGUACCUCUGGUACCUUGUGGUUCGACCUGAUAGUUUCUUAAUGGAAUCUCUUUUCUCCGAU